GGCCUGCUGGCCCAAUGGCAAGGCGUUUGACUUCGAAUCAAAAGAUUACAGGUUCGAUCCCUGUGCAGGUCA
rnacentral:tRNA from 2 species